GGGGUUGUGGCUCAGUGGUAGAGUGCUUGCUUAGCAUGUAUGAGGUACUGGGUUCGAGUUUCAGCACUGCA
rnacentral:tRNA from 1 species